AUUGAACGCUGGCGGCAGGCUUAACACAUGCAAGUCGAGCGGGGUGAUGGUGCUUGCACUAUCACUUAGCGGCGGACGGGUGAGUAAUGCUUAGGAAUCUGCCUAUUAGUGGGGGACAACAUCUCGAAAGGGAUGCUAAUACCGCAUACGUCCUACGGGAGAAAGCAGGGGAUCACUUGUGACCUUGCGCUAAUAGAUGAGCCUAAGUCGGAUUAGCUAGUUGGUGGGGUAAAGGCCUACCAAGGCGACGAUCUGUAGCGGGUCUGAGAGGAUGAUCCGCCACACUGGGACUGAGAAACGGCCCAGACUCCUACGGGAGGCAGCAGUGGGGAAUAUUGGACAAUGGGGGGAACCCUGAUCCAGCCAUGCCGCGUGUGUGAAGAAGGCCUUAUGGUUAUAAAGCACUUUAAGCGAGGAGGAGGCUCUUUUGGUUAAUACCCAAGAUGAGUGGACGUUACUCGCAGAAUAAGCACCGGCUAACUCUGUGCCAGCAGCCGCCGUAA
rnacentral:rRNA from 1 species